AUUGAACGCUAGCGGGGUGCUUUACACAUGCAAGUCGAACGAGUGGCGGACGGGUGAGUAAUAUAUCGGAACGUGCCCAGUAGCGGGGGAUAACUACUCGAAAGCGGGGCUAAUACCGCAUACUCUUGGAGCUGCCGAUAUCGGAUGAGCGAGUUGGUGGGGUAAAGGCUCCCCAGGGCAACGAUCCGUAGCUGGUUUGAGAGAACGACCAGCCACACUGGGACUGAGACACGGCCCAGACUCCUACGGGAGGCAGCAGUGGGGAAUUUUGGACAAUGGGGGAAACCCUGAUCCAGCCAUCCCGCGUGUAUGAGAAGGCCUUCGGGUUGUAAAGUACUUUUGGCAGAGAAGCGGUAUCUGCAGAAUAAGCACCGGCUAACUACGUGCCAGCAGCCGCGGUAAUUC
rnacentral:rRNA from 1 species